rnacentral:rRNA from 1 species
AGGGCGCUUUGGUGUUGGCUGCGGCCCAAGUUCCUUGGAACAGGACAUCGCGGAGGGUGAGAAUCCCGUACGUGGCCGCGUGCCUUCGCCGUGUAAAGCCCCUUCGACGAGUCGAGUUGUUUGGGAAUGCAGCUCUAAUUGGGAGGUAAAUUUCUUCUAAAGCUAAAUACUGGCCAGAGACCGAUAGCGCACAAGUAGAGUGAUCGAAAGAUGAAAAGCACUUUGGAAAGAGAGUCAAAAAGCACGUGAAAUUGUUGAAAGGGAAGCGCUUGCAGCCAGACAUGCCCGUGGCUGCUCAUCCAGACCCCCCAAGGUCUGGUGCACUCUCCCACGGGCAGGCCAGCAUCGGUUUGAGCGGUUGGAUAAAGGCUCUGGGAAUGUAGCUCCCCUUUGGGGAGUGUUAUAGCCCGUUGCGGAAUGCAGCCAGCUCGGACCGAGGCCCGCGCGCAUGCUAGGAUGCUGGCGUAAUGGCUGUAAGCGGCCCGUCUUGAAACACGGACCAAGG